rnacentral:rRNA from 1 species
UACGAAGGGGGGCUAGCGUUGUUCGGAAUUACUGGGCGUAAAGGGAGCGUAGGCGGACAUUUUAAGUCAGGGGUGAAAUCCCAGAGCUCAACUCUGGAACUGCCUUUGAUACUGGGUGUCUUGAGUGUGAUAGAGGUAUGUGGAACUCCGAGUGUAGAGGUGACAUUCGUAGAUAUUCGGAAGAACACCAGUGGCGAAGGCGACAUACUGGAUCACUACUGACGCUGAGGCUCGAAAGCGUGGGGGAGCGAACAGG